rnacentral:rRNA from 1 species
GAUGAACGCUGGCGGCGUGCCUAAUACAUGCAAGUCGAGCGAACAGACGAGGAGCUUGCUCCUCUGACGUUAGCGGCGGACGGGUGAGUAACACGUGGAUAACCUACCUAUAAGACUGGGAUAACUUCGGGAAACCGGAGCUAAUACCGGAUAACAUGUUGAACCGCAUGGUUCAACAGUGAAAGACGGUCUUGCUGUCACUUAUAGAUGGAUCCGCGCCGCAUUAGCUAGUUGGUAAGGUAACGGCUUACCAAGGCAACGAUGCGUAGCCGACCUGAGAGGAUGAUCGGCCACACUGGAACUGAGACACGGUCCAGACUCCUACGGGAGGCAGCAGUAGGGAAUCUUCCGCAAUGGGCGAAAGCCUGACGGGGCAACGCCGCGUGAGUGAAGAAGGUCUUCGGAUCGUAAAACUCUGUUAUUAGGGAAGAACAAAUGUGUAAGUAACUAUGCACGUCUUGACGGUACCUAAUCAGAAAGCCACGGCUAACUACGUG